rnacentral:rRNA from 1 species
CCCUUAGAUGUCCGGGGCCGCACGCGCGCUACACUGAAGGAAUCAGCGUGGCUUUCUCCCUGACCCGAAAGGGUUGGGAAACCCGUUGAAUCUCCUUCGUGAUAGGGAUUGGGGCUUGAAAUUGUUCCCCAUGAACGAGGAAUUCCCAGUAAGCGCGAGUCAUAAGCUCGCGUUGAUUACGUCCCUGCCCUUUGUACACACCGCACGUCGCUACUACCGAUUGAACGGUUUAGUGAGGGCCUCGGAUUGGUCUCGGCCCGCUCUUUACCGGGCGGCGCCGUUGGUCGAGAAGACGCUCGAACUUGAUCGUUUAGAGGAAGUAAAAGUCGUAACA